GUCAUGUAUUUCACGUAUGUGUAUAACUUAUUAGUCUUGCAGAUCUGACAUAACGCCGCAGUGAAAAAGCAGGAGGGGAGGCAGCCAGUACCUCUGCCUUACUGAAGGGGGCGUGUGUGAGCAUACGGGCUUGUUCUGCUAUUGUUCUUCUUCAUGUAUUACAGACAAAUGGCAUUCAAAAAUGGAAGAUUAUAUAUAUAAGUGACAACGAGUGACAAUGUCUGGACUACAACUGGAUUUUGUGACUUGAAAAAUAUACCAAGAAACCUCAGCAGACAUGAAAGUUCAACUACUCACAUUCAAAGUCAAAUUGAUUGAAAAACUUUUGGAAGCGCAAGGAUAGAUUUGGCUUUGAACAAACAGUGGAGACUAAAUAUUAGCGUCCACAAUGCUAAGGUAAAGGAAAACCGAGAGGCUUUAAAAGACCUCAUUAAUGCAGCUUGCUUCCUAGCCAAACAGCAAUUAGCAUUUCGUGGUAAUGAUGAGAGUAUGACCUCUUCUAAUCGUGGCAACUAUGUAGAACUUUUACAUGCUUCAGCUGAGAAAGAAGAUAGGUUAGCUAGACAUUUGGAGACAUCCACUGUGUUUUCUGGCUUAUCAAACAGAAUUCAGAACGAUUUAAUUGAAGCAAUAAGUGAUGUGAUUAGAAAUUAUAUAAAAAAGGAGAUUAAAGCAGCCCUAUUUGUUGCUGUAGAAGUAGAUGAGACAACGGAUGUCACAAACAAUGCCCAGAUCUCUUUCAUUUUGCGUUAUGUGGCUAAAAGUGAGGUGGCCUGUGAAGUGAGGGAGGCAUUUUUGGGAUUUGAUGAUUACACUACAUUUAUUCAUUUAGCAGAUGUUUUUAUCCAAAGUGACUUACAAAUGAGAAAAAUACAAGCAAAGCGAUAUAUCAAAAAGAAAACAAUACAAGUAGUGAUACCAUACAAGAUCCAUUAAUUGAGUUCCAGAAGAAGCAAAGUGCACAGAGUAGAGGUGUAAGUGCAAAUUUGUUUGUUUGUUUAUUUAUUUAUUUAUUUUAAUGAUUUGGUUAG
ensembl:lncRNA